UGGGGAAUAUUGGACAAUGGGGGGAACCCUGAUCCAGCCAUGCCGCGUGUGUGAAGAAGGCCUUAUGGUUGUAAAGCACUUUAAGCGAGGAGGAGGCUCUUUUGGUUAAUACCCAAGAUGAGUGGACGUUACUCGCAGAAUAAGCACCGGCUAACUCUGUGCCAGCAGCCGCGGUAAUACAGAGGGUGCGAGCGUUAAUCGGAUUUACUGGGCGUAAAGCGUGCGUAGGCGGCUUUUAAGUCGGAUGUGAAAUCCCCGAGCUUAACUUGGGAAUUGCAUUCGAUACUGGGAAGCUAGAGUAUGGGAGAGGAUGGUAGAAUUCCAGGUGUAGCGGUGAAAUGCGUAGAGAUCUGGAGGAAUACCGAUGGCGAAGGCAGCCAUCUGGCCUAAUACUGACGCUGAGGUACGAAAGCAUGGGGAGCAAACAGGAUUAGAUACCCUGGUAGUCCAUGCCGUAAACGAUGUCUACUAGCCGUUGGGGUCUUUGAGACUUUAGUGGCGCAGCUAAC
rnacentral:rRNA from 1 species